GUGAGUCAUCGAAUCUUUGAACGCACCUUGCGCUCUUUGGUAUUCCGAGGAGCAUGCCUGUUUGAGUGUCAUUAAUAUAUCAAUCUCUUCAGCUUUUGCUUGUUGGGCAUUGGAUGUGGGGGUCUUUUGUUGGUCUUUUAAAAGAAGAUUAGCUCCCCUAAAAUGUAUUAGCAGAACAAAUUUAUUAAUUGUUCAUUGGUGUGAUAAUUAUCUACGCUAUUGACGGUUAAGGCAGUUCAGCUUCUAACAGUCCCAUUGGCUUGGACAAUUUUUCAUUAAUGUGACCUCAAAUCAGGUAGGACUACCCGCUGAACUUAAGCAUAUCAAUAAGCGGAGG
rnacentral:rRNA from 1 species